rnacentral:tRNA from 1 species
GCCGUAGGGGAACCUGCGGCUGGAUCACCUCCUUUCUAAGGAUGAUCCUUCAGCGAGCUCACGCUCACUAUCGGAUCGUUUUAGAAACAUCAGUGGCCAACAGAUCGCCAGAUCGUUGAGCUGCAUUGGCGGGAUUUCGCCGUCUUCGUUUCUCUUUCUUCGCGGACGAACACGCGCUGGGCCUGCAACGGCAGGAUCCGGGGUCCUUAACGGGAUAUGCGUUAGGGGCUUGUAGCUCAGUUGGUUAGAGCGCGCGCUUGAUAAGCGUGAGGUCGGAAGUUCAAGUCUUCCCAGGCCCACCACUUUCAUCGAGUGAGCAUUCGUCUUCUGGUUACGGGGCCAUAGCUCAGCUGGGAGAGCGCGUGCUUUGCAAGCAUGAGGUCGUCGGUUCGAUCCCGUCUGGCUCCACCAGAUGGUUUGAUCGCCGAGGUCAUGCACCGUCGUCCGCGAAACAUCACUUCGCAUUCACUAGUCUGGAUAGACAGUGAACUGCGUGUUUUCUGACAUCGUAAAGAGGAGAUCGAUCCGAGUUGGGUCGUGCAGCAUAUCGUUGCGCGAGCCUUCAUUAUCUCCGGAUCAUUUUCGGCGCUCGCGUCCGACCGCAAGGUUGGCUGCGAGUUGUAAAAUGAUCCUUUUAGCGAAGCUUGACCGCCUCGCUAUCGGAACGAUCUUACGAAGCAAGCUGGUCUUUCUAGUCAAUGUCCGGCUGUACGUAGCAUUCAUCGAGGGUGCGCGCCGCAAGGCAAUCGUACAGACAACAUUCUGCCGAGUGUGUGGACAUUGAUAAUGAGAGCAAUCAAGUGCCUUAAGGGUGUUC